rnacentral:rRNA from 1 species
GACGAACGCUGGCGGCGUGCUUAACACAUGCAAGUCGAACGGAAAGGCCCUGCUUUUGUGGGGUGCUCGAGUGGCGAACGGGUGAGUAACACGUGAGUAACCUGCCCUUGACUUUGGGAUAACUCCUGGAAACUGGGGCUAAUACCGGAUAGGAGCUCCUGCUGCAUGGUGGGGGUUGGAAAGUUUCGGCGGUUGGGGAUGGACUCGCGGCUUAUCAGCUUGUUGGUGGGGUAGUGGCUUACCAAGGCUUUGACGGGUAGCCGGCCUGAGAGGGUGAACGGCCACAUUGGGACUGAGCUACGGACCAGACUCCUACGGGAGGCAGCAGUGGGGAAUAUUGCACAAUGGGCGGAAGCCUGAUGCAGCAACGCCGCGUGCGGGAUGACGGCCUUCGGGUUGUAAACCGAUUUCGCAUGUGACGAAGAGUGAGUGACGGUAAUGGGUAAAGAAGCACCGGCUAACUACGUG